GAUGAACGCUGGCGGCGUGCCUAAUACAUGCAAGUCGAGCGAACGGACGAGAAGCUUGCUUUUCUGAUGUUAGCGGCGGACGGGUGAGUAACACGUGGAUAACCUACCUAUAAGACUGGGAUAACUUCGGGAAACCGGAGCUAAUACCGGAUAAUAUUUUGAACCGCAUGGUUCAAAAGUGAAAGACGGUCUUGCUGUCACUUAUAGAUGGAUCCGCGCUGCAUUAGCUAGUUGGUAAGGUAACGGCUUACCAAGGCAACGAUGCAUAGCCGACCUGAGAGGGUGAUCGGCCACACUGGAACUGAGACACGGUCCAGACUCCUACGGGAGGCAGCAGUAGGGAAUCUUCCGCAAUGGGCGAAAGCCUGACGGAGCAACGCCGCGUGAGUGAUGAAGGUCUUCGGAUCGUAAAACUCUGUUAUUAGGUAAGAACAUAUGUGUAAGUAACUGUGCACAUCUUGACGGUACCUAAUCAGAAAGCCACGGCUAACUACGUG
rnacentral:rRNA from 1 species